AACGAACGCUGGCGGCAUGCCUAACACAUGCAAGUCGAACGAACCCUUCGGGGUUAGUGGCGCACGGGUGCGUAACGCGUGGGAAUCUGCCCUUUGCUUCGGAAUAACAGUUAGAAAUGACUGCUAAUACCGGAUGAUGUCUUCGGACCAAAGAUUUAUCGGCAAAGGAUGAGCCCGCGUAGGAUUAGGUAGUUGGUGGGGUAAAGGCCUACCAAGCCGACGAUCCUUAGCUGGUCUGAGAGGAUGAUCAGCCACACUGGGACUGAGACACGGCCCAGACUCCUACGGGAGGCAGCAGUGGGGAAUAUUGGACAAUGGGCGCAAGCCUGAUCCAGCAAUGCCGCGUGAGUGAUGAAGGCCUUCGGGUCGUAAAGCUCUUUUACCAGGGAUGAUAAUGACAGACC
rnacentral:rRNA from 1 species